rnacentral:rRNA from 1 species
AACGAACGCUGGCGGCAUGCCUAACACAUGCAAGUCGAACGAGACCUUCGGGUCUAGUGGCGCACGGGUGCGUAACGCGUGGGAACCUGCCCUUAGGUUCGGAAUAACUCCCCGAAAGGUGUGCUAAUACCGGAUAAUGUCUUCGGACCAAAGAUUUAUCGCCUUUGGAUGGGCCCGCGUUGGAUUAGCUAGUUGGUAGGGUAAUAGCCUACCAAGGCGACGAUCCAUAGCUGGUCUGAGAGGAUGAUCAGCCACACUGGAACUGAGACACGGCCCAGACUACUACGGGAGGCAGCAGUGGGGAAUAUUGGACAAAGGGCGAAAGCCUGAUCCAGCAAUGCCGCGUGAGUGAUGAAGGCCUUAGGGUUGUAAAGCUCUUUUACCCGGGAUGAUAAUGACAGUACCGGGAGAAUAAGCGCCGGCUAACUCCGUG